CAACCCUCAAGCUCUGCUUGGUAUUGGGUGCCACCAUCUAGGUGUGCCUUAAACUCAGUGGCGGUGCCAUCUGGCUUCAAGCGUAGUAACACCUCUCGCUUUGGAGUCUCGGUGUGCUCUUGCCAUCAAAUGCAAACUUUCACA
rnacentral:misc_RNA from 1 species